UGGGGAAUUUUGGACAAUGGGGGCAACCCUGAUCCAGCAAUGCCGCGUGUGUGAAGAAGGCCUUCGGGUUGUAAAGCACUUUUGUCCGGGAAGAAAUCGCACCUGAUAAUACCGGGUGUGGAUGACGGUACCGGAAGAAUAAGGACCGGCUAACUACGUGCCAGCAGCCGCGGUAAUACGUAGGGUCCAAGCGUUAAUCGGAAUUACUGGGCGUAAAGCGUGCGCAGGCAGUUGUGCAAGACCGAUGUGAAAUCCCCGGGCUUAACCUGGGAAUUGCAUUGGUGACUGCACGGCUAGAGUGUGUCAGAGGGGGGUAGAAUUCCACGUGUAGCAGUGAAAUGCGUAGAGAUGUGGAGGAAUACCGAUGGCGAAGGCAGCCCCCUGGGAUAACACUGACGCUCAUGCACGAAAGCGUGGGGAGCAAACAGG
rnacentral:rRNA from 1 species